AUUGAACGCUGGCGGCAUGCCUUACACAUGCAAGUCGAACGGUAACGGGCCUUCGGGUGCCGACGAGUGGCGAACGGGUGCGUAAUACAUCGGAACGUGCCCGAUCGUGGGGGAUAACGAGGCGAAAGCUUUGCUAAUACCGCAUACGAUCUACGGAUGAAAGCAGGGGACCGCAAGGCCUUGCGCGGACGGAGCGGCCGAUGGCAGAUUAGGUAGUUGGUGGGAUAAAAGCUUACCAAGCCGACGAUCGGUAGCUGGUCUGAGAGGAUGAUCAGCCACACUGGGACUGAGACACGGCCCAGACUCCUACGGGAGGCAGCAGUGGGGAAUUUUGGACAAUGGGCGCAAGCCUGAUCCAGCCAUGCCGCGUGCAGGAUGAAGGCCUUCGGGUUGUAAACUGCUUUUGUACGGAACGAAAAGCCUUCUUUUAAUACAGGAGGGUCAUGACGGUACCGUAAGAAUAAGCACCGGCUAACUACGUG
rnacentral:rRNA from 1 species